UACGUAGGGUGCAAGCGUUUGUCCGGAAUUAUUGGGCGUAAAGAGCUCGUAGGCGGUUUGUUGCGUCGGCUGUGAAAUCCCCGAGGCUCAACCUCGGGUCUGCAGUCGAUACGAGCAAACUAGAGUGUUGCAGGGGAGACUGGAAUUCCUGGUGUAGCGGUGAAAUGCGCAGAUAUCAGGAGGAACACCGGUAGCGAAGGCGGGUCUCUGGGCAACAACUGACGCUGAGGAGCGAAAGCGUGGGGAGCGAACAGG
rnacentral:rRNA from 1 species